rfam:Ciona savignyi cont_35346, whole genome shotgun sequence.
GCUUAUCACCAUUCCAGAUUGAAUAUACCCGAUCUCGUCUGAUCUCGGAAGUCAAGCAUCUCGGGUUGGUUAGUAUUGGAUGGGUGACCGCUUGGGAAUACCAAGUGUGAUAGAAU